rnacentral:rRNA from 1 species
GACGAACGCUGGCGGCGUGCCUAAUACAUGCAAGUAGAACGAGUUGCGAACGGGUGAGUAACGGGUGUUAACCUGCCGCAUCGCGGGGGAUAACUAUUGGAAACGGUAGCUAAUACCGCAUACCAGCAGAUGUGCCCAGAUGGGAUUAGCUAGUAGGUGGGGUAACGGCUAACCUAGGCGACGAUCCCUAGCUGGUCUGAGAGGAUGAACCGCCACACUGGAACUGAGACACGGCCCAGACUCCUACGGGAGGCAGCAGUGGGGAAUAUUGGACAAUGGACGCAAGCCUGAUGCAGCCAUGCCGCGUGUAUGAAGAAGGCCUUCGGGUUGUAAAGUACUUUCAGCGGGGAGGCGUUACCCGCAGAAGAAGCCCCGGCUAACUCCGUGCCAGCAGCCGCGGUAAUAC